rnacentral:rRNA from 1 species
GACGAACGCUGGCGGCGUGCUUAACACAUGCAAGUCGAACGGAAAGGCCCUGCUUUUGUGGGGUGCUCGAGUGGCGAACGGGGGAGUAAAACGUGAGUAACCUGCCCUUGUCUUUGGGGUAACUUCAGGAAAAUGGGGCUAUUACAGGAUAGGAGCUCCUGCUGCAUGGUGGGGGUUGGAAAGUUUCGGCGGUUGGGGAUGGACUCGCGGCUUAUCAGCUUGUUGGUGGGGUAGUGGCUUACCAAGGCUUUGACGGGUAGCCGGCCUGAGAGGGUGACCGGCCACAUUGGGACUGAGAUACGGCCCAGACGCCUACGGGAGGCAGCAGGGGGGAAUAUUGCACAAUGGGCGGAAGUCUGAUGCAGCAACGCCGCGUGCGGGAUGACGGCCUUCGGGGUGUAAACCGCUUUCGACUGUGACGUAGCGUGAGUGACGGUAAUGGGUAAAGAAGCACCGGCUAACUACGUG